rnacentral:rRNA from 1 species
AUGUUUGCAUGUUCUAUGGAAGUGGGGUCGCCAAGUGAGAGAUUGCCGUAUGCACCAAGAAAGUCGCACCUUGUUACAGGCCUCCAAUGGGUGGCAGAGAAGGAGCAAGAUGCAAAAGCUUUCUACUCUAUGUUCAGAAUGAGAAGGUCAGUUUUUUACUCAUUGCAUGAAUUAUUGGUUGAGAAGUACGGGCUUAAGUCAACUUGCAACAUAUCAUCGAAAGAAGCAUUGGCACAGUUUUUAUGGACUUUGGGGACGUGCCAAACCACUGAUAAUGUAGCAGAUCGGUUUGGACAUAGUCGUUCUGUCAUCAACAAAAAAUUUCAUGAGGUUUUGGAGUGUGUGGACCGCAUGGCUGGUGAUUUCAUUAGGCCUAUUGAUCCAUCUUUCUCUGAACCGCACCCCAUACUAAGAAAAACAAAGUUCUGGCCUCAUUUCAAAAAUGCUAUUGGAGCCAUAGAUGGAACACACAUUGAAGUGAUUGUGCCUAAGGAGUUGGAGCCACAACACAGGAAUAGGAAAGGGGUUACAAGUGAAAAUGUCAUGACAGUCUGUGAUUUCGAUAUGAGGUUCACUUUUGUUGUUCCUGGAUGGCCCGGAUCUGUUCAUGACACACGUGUAUGGAGCGAUGCUAUAAUGAAAUGA